rnacentral:rRNA from 1 species
UACGAGAGGUACAAACGUUUACCCGGAAUCAUUGGGCGUAAAGCGUCCGCAGGUGGUUUGAUAAGUUGGAUAUUAAAUCUUGAGGCUCAACUUCAAGGCUGUGUCCAAAACUAUCUCACUAGAGAUUAGGAGAGGUGAGCGGAAUUCUGCAUGUAGGGGUAAAAUCCGUAGAUAUGCAGAGGAACACCAAAAAGCGAAGGCAGCUCACUGGCCUAUAUCUGACACUCAUGGACGAAAGCGUAGGUAGCAAACGGGG